ACCAACAUCAGAGAUGCACCUUCACAGAUCUUAAAAGAUAGAUCGAGUGAUGGAGAAAAAGAUUUCAUAAAAAAAAAUUGAGAAAAGAAAUUUAAGAAUCAGAUUUGAAUUUUUUCAAAAAAAAUAGAGAAUGAAAGAGGAAGAAGACGGAAGAGAAAAAGAGGGAAGAGAAAAAGAAAAAAAAGAUAAUGAGAGAGAAGACAUGGGUCCACUACUAGUCAUUUGAUUUCAACUAAUAAACGUAAUGAGAACACAAGAAAGUUAAGAAAAAGUGUUUGAGGAGCAUAAACUGCUCUAUUCUGUAAUAAAAAACUUGAAACUGUCAUAUGGUGUAAUUGUUUCUUUCACUCUAUGUCACUUCUUUCUACUAGAGCACUUUUUCUUAAAGAGCAUUUGAGUCCUAACAUUUUCAGUUCAAUUAUAACCACGGCAUUGACUAACUGAACCUAGAAAGUUGCGGGCCUGUGUUCCCAGCCAUUGAUUUUUCUUAUAUUUCGACGGCUGAGAUUGCACAAAUAUCUCUCUCUCUUCUGCAAAAGUAAAGUUUUCAAUUAUUGAAUUAAAGUUCGAUCCUUUCUUAUCAAAGUUUCAUUCUUUCUCUUCUUUGUGUUCAUGGGAAUUAUAGAAACAAAUGAUUUCAUAUCUCUUAAUACAAAAGUAAGUAAAAGUUUUGAUUUCAAGGCUUGGUUUGACUCCCCACAAUGAAUUCAAAAAAAUAAAAUGGCAGCUGGGCUGAUGAAUCAUUAGUAGCAUAGAUGAGAAAUUUGAAGCUUGAGUAUGAGAAGCUUGCUUCUGAAAAAAUUGUGAGAUGAGUUAAAGAAGAAAGGUGAUGAGAUUUCUCAAGCUUGAAGAAGAAAGAUUACGAGCUCAUCUGUGAAUGCCAGCCUCGUCAAUCUCGUUUAAUAAAACAUUAGCGGUUUUUGGUGUGUUUGGUUUUAUUGCAGUUGAAUUUGGACUCAGAGAAUGAUGUAUCAUCUGCUAUCGAUUGAAGAAAGUCAGCAAAACAUCUUGAAACGGGAGUCUCUGUGAUUGAUUCAUGUGAAGAAAGUUUUUGAUCAACAAGAAUGCAUAGAGGUUGCAUAAACAAUCUAUAAUUAAGAGGCUUUACUUGAAGGUCAGGCUUGUUAAGAGCCUCAUGAACAAUAGGCUUGUCACUAUUUUUUUGGUUAAUUAUUGUGUGUCUACAAUUGUGGGAUUUGUUUUAGUUUGAGUUGGUAUCCAGAUUUCAUAGAACUUUCAUUAAUACUAAUAUUCUAGGUGCUUUUUGUUGGAGAUGCAAACAUAUGUGAUAAAUAUAUGUUCAUGUGACUAUUGUGUGGCAGAUGUACAUUGUGCAUAAUGAGAACUAUUGCACCAUAAGUUGAUUAUGAAACUAGAGGUGAAUAACUGGCUACUGCUUUUCAUUUUA